UGCUUUAAAAUAAGUAAGGACAGAUUCAAUCUUAUAAUUUAAAUCACACACAAGUCUCAUCUCAUUUCAUAUCUUAAUUCAGAAGCAAGAAAAAGAAGGGAAUGUCCAAAACUCUCAAAAUCCAGCAUCAUUGAAUACCCUCAAGACAUUUUAGAAUCCCUUGGACGGCUCUGAUAGCACAGGAAAACCCAAAGGACUCUUUCCCUACAAAAAAGAGCUCAUCCCUACCUCCAUCUUUCAACAAACAAAUAAAUUAAAACUCACUCACAAGAACAAUCUAGAGAACCCAUCUUUUGUUCCUAAGACGUGUUUCUUGCUGUAAUAUAACUUGAUAUAAACUACUAGUAACACGAAUAAAAACCCUAGCUGCAAAACUUAUGGGCAUGCAAUAUUGAAGGGUAGUGGAUGCUGUUGAUGAUGAUGAAGAUCAUCCAAAUAAGCAAAUUCCUCAUUGCCAAACUCAAAAUCAUAAUCAGGGAGCUCGCUUGGUUCAUCGGUGUCUAACUUGCAAAUGUCUAGAUCUUCAAUGUUACAGUAAUCAUCAUAAAGUUGCCCAAAAUCAUCAAUGAGGUUACCAAACUCCAACCCCAGGUUAAGAUCUUCAUCAACUGGGCACGACCCCAAUGGCUCAUUCAUAAAACCCAAAUCGGGUAACUCAAGAUCUGCAACAUCUGCAUCAAAACCACCUUCUUUGAUCAAAUCACUAGAGUCACCAUUAAGAUUUGACACAACUGAAAUAUCCAAAUCCAGAACCGAAGAUGGAGAAGUAUGUGAUAACAAGCUGUCAGUGUCUUCUGAGGAAACAGGACCAUGAUGGUUAGUGCAGCUCUUCUUGUUGUUUUGUGACUGAGAGGCUGCCACAGAAAUGGAAAUAUUUUGGCUCUUCUCAGAGGCUGCCAUGGUCAUAGCAUCAUACUCGCGCUUCUUUGCCUCGUAAGCCUGCGCAGCCUCUUCAAGAGUAUUGUAAGUACCCAACCAAGUCCUGACUUUGGUGACUGGAUUUCUAAUUUCGGCUGCCCACUUACCCCACUUCCUUUGCCUAACACCUACAGGUUUCUUCCGCGCCACUUUUGUUUCAGUUGUUGCUGUUGCUGCAGUUGUUGCAGGGGAUGCGGUUUUACCCACAACCCUUCUCUUCUUGUUGCGGGUUUUGCCACUGUUGUUACUGUCUUGACAGGAACUCUCAGGCUCGAGGGUUUUUGACUGAGGAAAAACAACGAAUGGAAAAUUGAUCUCGGACACGAAUCGUUUGGAUUUAAACGAUCUCUCAACAUUUAUCUCUGAUUCAUCAUCACUUGAAUCAGAAUCAGUCGCGUAUGGAUCACGGUAAAUGACGCGAAUUUUUCUCAUUUUGGACUCCAUUCUCGACUCUUCCGGCGAGAUUGAUUUGGUGUCAGCGACUUUUUUGCAGGAUUUACUGGGGUUCAAAGGAUGUUUUCUAGGCUCUGGCAUCAGGAAAUGAUGGGUUAAAACUCGCCAAAACCCCCCUCAAUGACUUCUUGUUUUUUAACAAACAAAACGAAAAUCUGGAAAAAUGAAAGACGAGAAAAGGUCGGAUUAUAUCACAGUGGCGUCAAGUGAGAGGCCCUCUCAAGAACAGGAAAAGGUAGAAAAUUCGCUUUAUAUGAAAACCCCCAAAACACUCGACACCAGAACAAGUCCUGCAAAACCACAUCAAAAACCCCAAAAACCCUUUCAGAUUCCGAACAAAAACAUAAACUAUUACAAAAUAAAUAAAUAAAACAUGGGUUUAACAAAAAAUAACAAGGUAGCAAAACCCACUUACCUUUUUGGUCUCAAACGCAUCGAAACAGCUGGAAACCACAGAUUUAACCUCUGCUGGAAACAGCAGAGAAGCAUAUAGCAGAAAAAACCACAACAGAGAGAAGCAAAGCAAAUAGAAAGAGUUGAACAAGCGGAAGGAAUAAACCAGAGCUGCGACAGAGCCCCAAUCAAAGCCAAAUCAAACCCAGCCGACAUAACACAGAAGAACCUCCCAAGUUCUAGCUUCCUUCAAGCAGAGAGCGUAAAAGGCAAGCAAAUAGAUGAACUAGCGAUAAAUAUAGU
rnacentral:misc_RNA from 1 species